CACGUAGUUAGCCGUGGCUUUCUCGUAAGGUACCGUCAAUUGAUAGUCAUUUCCUCCUAUCACCUUUCUUCCCUUAUAACAGAAUUUUACAACCCGAAGGCCUUCUUCAUUCACGCGGCGUUGCUCGGUCAGGCUUUCGCCCAUUGCCGAAGAUUCCCUACUGCUGCCUCCCGUAGGAGUCUGGGCCGUGUCUCAGUCCCAGUGUGGCCGUUCACCCUCUCAGGUCGGCUACGCAUCGUCGCCUUGGUAGGCCUUUACCCCACCAACUAGCUAAUGCGCCGCAGGCUCAUCCAUCAGUGAUGCCAGGAGCAUCUUUAAACUUUCGUCCUAUCCGGUAUUAGCGAUCGUUUCCAAUCGUUGUCCCCGUCUGAUGGGCAGAUUACCUACGUGUUACUCACCCGUUCGCCGCUUCCCACCGAAGUGGUUCGCUCGACUUGCAUGUAUUAGGCACGCCGCCAGCGUUCAUCCUGAGCCAGGAUCAAACUCU
rnacentral:rRNA from 1 species